GGGGAUAUAGCUCAUCUGGUAGAGCGGUACGUUCGCAACGUACAGGUAACGUGUUCGAGUCACGCUAUCUCCACCA
rnacentral:tRNA from 1 species